rnacentral:rRNA from 1 species
UCAAGCGAAUAAGAGCUUACGAUGGAUACCUUGGUGUUUAGAAGCGAUGAAGGGCGCGGCUACCGGCGAAAUGUUUCGGGGAACUGGAAGCAAGUUUUGAUCCGAAAAUACCCGAAUAAGGAAACUUCUUGAACUACUUCUUGAAUUCAUAAAGAAGAAAGAGCAAACCUAGUGAAUUGAAACAUCUUAGUAACUAGAGGAAAAGAAAGCAAAAGCGAUUCUCUGAGUAGCGGCGAGCGAAACGGGAUCAGUCUAAACUCUAUUUUUUAGAGGGUUGUGGGACAGCAGAAAUGAAAUGUAAUUUAUUAGGUGAAGCGGGUGGAAUACUGUGCCAAAGAAGGUGAAAGUCCUGUAAUCGAAAAUAUAAACAUUUUUAUGCUUUAUCCCAAGUAGGAAGGGACACGUGGAACCCCUUCUGAAUUUGCGAGGACCACCUCGUAAGACUAAAUAUUCCUAAACAACCGAUAGUGAAAUAGUACCGUGAGGGAAAGGUGAAAAGAACCCCGGGAGGGGAGUGAAAGAGAACAUGAAAUCGUAAGUUUACAAGCAGUAGAAGAGCGACUUAACGCUCGACUUCGUGCCUGUUGAAGAAUGAGCUGGCGACUUGUAGGUUAUGGCAAGGUUAAGAUAAGAGAAUAUCGAAGCCACAGUGAAAGCGAGCUUGAUAAGAGCUUUGAGUCAUUAUUUACAGACCCGAACCCGGAUGAUCUAACCAUGGCCAGUGUGAAGCUUAGGUAACACUAAGUGGAGGUACCAACCGACUGUUGUUGAAAAAACAGCGGAUGAGUUGUGGUUAGGGGUGAAAUUCCAAUCGAAUCCGGAGCUAGCUGGAUCUCCCCGAAAUGCGUUGAGGCGCAGCGGUUAAUGUUUCUUCUUAGGGGUAAAGCUACUGUUUUGGUGCGGGCUGCGAGAGCGGUACCAAAUCAAGGCAAACUCUGAAUACUAAGACGUUUAAUUAGCCAGUGAGACAUUGGGGGAUAAGCUUCAAUGUCAAAAGGGAAACAGCCCAGAUUACCAGCUAAGGCCCCUAAAUAAUUACUAAGUGAUAAAGGAGGUGGGAUUGCAUAGACAAUCAGGAGGUUUGCCCAGAAGCAGCAAUCCUUUAAAGAGUGCGUAAUAGCUCACUGUUCGAGUGAUCCUGCGCCGAAAAUGAAUGGGGCUAAGUAAUUUGCCGAAGCUGUAAGAUGUUAAAAUAUCGGUAGGGGAGCGUUCUACAUUAGUUUGAAGCGUUAGUGAAAACGGGCGUGGACGAAGUAGAAGUGAGAAUGUCAGCUUGAGUAGCGAAAACAUUGGUGAGAAUCCAAUGCCCCGAAAACCUAAGGGUUUCUCCGGAAGGCUCGUCCGCGGAGAGUGAGUCAGGGCCUAAGGUGAGGCUGAAAAGCGUAAUCGAUGGAUAACAGGUUAAUAUUCCUGUACUGUUUAUUGUUGGUGACGGGGGACGGAGAAGGCUAGGUCGACCGAAUGUUGGUUAUCGGCUUAAGUAUUCGAGGUGUUGAGGAUUGGCGAUAACAAUCUGAGCUGAGAUAUGAAUAGGAAAGUGUUAAGACACUGAACCGACUAACGUCAUACUUCCAAGAAAAGCCCGAAACACCACAAGCAAUAAAUACCUGUACCCUAAACCGACACAGGUGGGUAAGUAGAGAAUACUAAGGGGCGCGAGAUAACUCUCUCUAAGGAACUCGGCAAAAUGGCCUCGUAACUUCGGGAGAAGAGGUACCCGUUAUGGGUUGCAAGAACCAGACGCUGGCGACUGUUUAUCAAAAACACAGGUCUCCGCAAAGUCGUAAGACGAUAUAUGGGGGCUGACACCUGCCCAGUGCCGGAAGGUUAAGGAAGCUUGUUAGUCUUUGACAAAGCUCGCGACCGAAGCCCCGGUGAACGGCGGCCGUAACAAUAACGGUCCUAAGGUAGCGAAAUUCCUUGUCGGGUAAGUUCCGACCUGCACGAAUGGCGUAACGAUCUGGGAACUGUCUCAGCUUGAGACUCAGUGAAGUUGUAGUGUCGGUGAAGAUGCCGACUACCCGCAGCAAGACGGAAAGACCCCGUGAACCUUUACUGCAGCUAGAUAUUGAUCUUGGGUGUUGCAUGUGCAGGAUAGGUGGGAGACAUUGAACCACGCUCGUCAGGGUGUGGGGAGUCAAUGGUGAGAUACCACUCUUGUAACAUCGAAGAUCUAACCGCGGUCCCUGAUCGGGAUCCGGAACAGUGUCUGGUGGGUAGUUUGACUGGGGCGGUCGCCUCCUAAAGAGUAACGGAGGCUCCCAAAGGUACCCUCAGCACGGUUGGCAAUCGUGCGUAGAGUGUAAAAGCAUAAGGGUGCUUGACUGCGAGACAUACAGGUCGAGCAGGCACGAAAGUGGGGUUUAGUGAUCCGGUGGCACCGCAUGGAAGGGCCAUCGCUCAAAGGAUAAAAGGUACUCCGGGAUAACAGGCUGAUCUCCCCCAAGAGCUCACAUCGACGGGGAGGUUUGGCACCUCGAUGUCGGCUCGUCGCAUCCUGGGGCGGUAGUACGUCCCAAGGGUUGGGCUGUUCGCCCAUGAAAGCGGCACGCGAGCUGGGUUCAGAACGUCGUGAGACAGUUCGGUCCCUAUCUGUUGCGAGCGUAAGAAACUUGAGAAGAUCUGACUUUAGUACGAGAGGACCGAGUUGGACUAACCGCUGGUGUACCAGUUGUCUCGCCAGGGGCAUUGCUGGGUAGCUAUGUUGGGAAGGGAUAAGCGCUGAAAGCAUCUAAGCGCGAAACCCACUUCAAGAUGAGGUUUCUUUAAAGGGACGUUAUAGAUGAUGACGUUGAUAGGCUGCAGGUAUAUAGGUAGUAAUAUCAGAGCUGAGCAGUACUAAUUACCCGUAAGCUUU